rnacentral:rRNA from 1 species
GACAGAGGGUGCAAACGUUGCUCGGAAUUACUGGGCGUAAAGCGCGUGUAGGCGGACCACCAAGUCGGACGUGAAAGCCCUGAGCUCAACUCAGGAACUGCAUCCGAAACUGGCGGUCUGGAGUGGUGGAGAGGAAAGCAGAAUUCCUGGUGUAGAGGUGAAAUUCGUAGAUAUCAGGAGGAACACCGGUGGCGAAGGCGGCUAUCUGGACGGUUUCUGACGCUAAGACGCGAAAGCGUGGGGAGCAAACAGG